rnacentral:rRNA from 1 species
AGUGAACGCUGGCGGUAGGCCUAACACAUGCAAGUCGAACGGCAGCACAGUAAGAGCUUGCUCUUACGGGUGGCGAGUGGCGGACGGGUGAGGAAUACAUCGGAAUCUACUUUUUCGUGGGGGAUAACGUAGGGAAACUUACGCUAAUACCGCAUACGACCUACGUGUGAAAGCAGGGGAUCUUCGGACCUUGCGCGAUUGAAUGAGCCGAUGUCGGAUUAGCUAGUUGGCGGGGUAAAGGCCCACCAAGGCGACGAUCCGUAGCUGGUCUGAGGGGAUGAUCAGCCACACUGGAACUGAGACACGGUCCAAACUCCUACGGGAGGCAGCAGUGGGGAAUAUUGGACAAUGGGCGCAAGCCUGAUACAGCCAUACCGCGUGGGUGAAGAAGGCCUUCGGGUUGUGAAGCCCUUUUGUUGGGAAAGAAAAGCAGCAGGUUAAUACACCGGUGUUCUGGCGGUACCCAAAGAAUAAGCAGCGGCUAACUUCGUG